AACAACCUUAACUCGGAUCUCCAGCAUACACCUUGAAUCUUUCAACCACCCAAACCAAAUCUCCUAAACACACGCCCAUCGACAACUUGUUCUGUUAGAGUUGGCUGCCGAUGAGCCGACCAAGAGAUCUUGCACAGUGAAAUAUCUUUUAAAAAUCAUGAUUACUUGCUGUCAAAUCACCUGCACAAUCCCUUAAUUAUCGUGCAAACAGUUACCAUAUCCACCUG
rnacentral:lncRNA from 1 species